UUACGGCCAUAACACGUUCAAACACUGGUUCUCAUACGAUCACCGUUAAGUUAAACAACGCCGUACCUAGUCAGUAUCUUGAUGGGUGACCGCUUGGGAAUACCAAGUGCUGUAAGC